UCGGUGAGUGGAGUGAACUUUCUUGUCGUCAGUGCUAAAUCUUUAUUCAAUAUGGCGGUUCUCUGAAUAUGUUAACAAACCGGACAGGAAGCUCAGGCAGCUGAAGGUUUCAGCGUGAUACAGUGACACAGAGGAAACUGAGAAGACUGAAUCAAUCAAAGCUCAGCUUUGGGAAGGGAAGAGACACAGGACAAGAUAAGGAGACUGAGAGAAAAAGAAACACAAGAUGAUGGAUUUGAGAGGAGAAGAAGAGCAGCCCAGACAGAAGGAAGCACAACUUCCAGCAGCGCUCCCUCAGACAGAUAUGUGUGGGUAGAUAGGAAGCUGGCACGACGCUGCCAGUUCCGACAUGCCAGACUGAAGGAUGAAUGUCACCGUAGGCGCUAAUACCAGUUGAGAGAUGCCACCAUAGAUUCUACCCCAAGACAUCUGGAAUCCCAGGUGCCCGUCCUGCUGAUCCAGGUCUCAGCUGCAGGAAGCCAAGACUCCUUGUGGAUGCCAAGAGCCUCGCAACACCAGCCAAGCCACACUGAAGCUUAUCAGCUCCACCACAACCCUUUAUGGGCCUAUUCACCUCAAUCAAAGCUGUUAUUUAGGUAACGAGCCAAGAUGGCGGAUAUCACUGCACUCCAAUUACCCACUAUGUCUCCUCCAUCUUUCCUUGCCAGCAUCCCCACAAGCCCUGAUUCUCCUCAGCGUGCCCAGCUGCUCUGGCGCUGCUCCGCUUCCUCAAUAUCUGUACAGGGGGAGACCUUUCAGAACAGAAGGGCUCUGUCAGUGCUAGAUUCACUCACAAGGGCUAUUGAUGACUGCUGCGGCGUUUCGUACAGAAAGUCUUAUCAACAGUGGGAAGGUGUUUCUCAAAGUGCAAUGUUUACUCGGUCAGCUGCUGCGGCCUGGACAGAAACACCAGCUCUCACCUUAAAAACCAAACAGAGGUGUCACCACUUCAUCCAUGAUCACAGAGUCUCUUUGUACAGCGAAGUUCUUUGAGACCAGGACUGAGGCCUCCAGGAUUCAAACAACCAUUAAAGCACAGAGACACAGACUCGAAGACAUUUUCAGAAGCUGCUGUCGUCUUCUCCUCCUGCAGAGACAAGAAAACCAAAAUAUUUUUAUGACAUACUAUUCUGACAUUUUUUGACAGUUUUUAUGCCUUACAACUUCUUAUCCUAAUGUAGCCAUCUUACCUUCAUUUUCCACACACACACCUCUACACAGUGUUUGUGGGUUAGGUCAGAUUUUCAUUUUUGUAUUUUGCUAUUUCAAACAGUGCAAUAUCAGUACUCAAAAUCCAAUCUAUUAUUCUGUACGUAAACCUGUUCAUUCUGUGCAUCAUUUUUAUAUAUUGUUGUAUAUUAGCUUGUUUUAUGUCUUGGAGAUAUAAUGCCCUUUUUUACUGUUGCAAUACUGAACUUCCCUGUUGUGGGACAGAUAAAGGAUUAUCUUACUCAAAUAAAUACUUCUGAACACUGACUAUUUUGCUGGUCUGUUUAAUAUUGUAUGAAAGGGAAUAUUUUUUUAACCAGAGGUCAGUGUUAGGGUUAUCACUUUUAGCCAGAGAUUACAGUUUUUAGCCUAAAUUCUACAUUUUAAUUGCAAGCUGUAAGUAGAGAAUAUUUGGCAUUUCUGCAUUAGAAAAUCACUUUUGUGACAUUAAUUUGAAAAUGGAGAAACUCAUUUCAAAAGUUAAAGUUUUUGAUGCCUUACUAUGACAUUUUAUGAUGG